rnacentral:rRNA from 1 species
AUACGGAGGAUGCGAGCGUUAUCCGGUUUUAUUGGGUUUAAAGGGAGCGUAGGUGGGAUAUUAAGUCAGCUGUGAAAGUUUGGGGCUCAACCUUAAAAUUGCAGUUGAUACUGGUUUCCUUGAGUACGGUACAGGUGGGCGGAAUUCGUGGUGUAGCGGUGAAAUGCUUAGAUAUCACGAAGAACUCCGAUCGCGAAGGCAGCUCACCGGGCCGGAACUGACACUGAUGCUCGAAAGUGCGGGUAUCAAACAGGAUUAGAUACCCUGGUAGUCCGCACAGUAAACGAUGAAUACUCGCUGUUUGCGAUACACUGUAAGCGGCCAAGCGAAAGCGUUAAGUAUUCCACCUGGGGAGUACGCCGGCAACGGUGAAACUCAAAGGAAUUGACGGGG